rnacentral:rRNA from 1 species
CAGAUCUAGCUUGCUAGAUGCUGACGAGUGGCGCACGGGUGCGUAACGCGUAUACAAUCUACCUUUAACUGAGGGAUAGCCCAGAGAAAUUUGGAUUAAUACCUCAUAGUAUUAUAAUUAGGCAUCUUUUUAUAAUUAAAACUUCGGUGGUUAAAGAUGAGUAUGCGUACUAUUAGCUAGUUGGUAAGGUAAAAGCUUACCAAGGCAACGAUAGUUAGGGGGCCUGAAAGGGUGAUCCCCCACACUGGUACUGAGACACGGACCAGACUCCUACGGGAGGCAGCAGUGAGGAAUAUUGCACAAUGGAGGAAACUCUGAUGCAGCCAUGCCGCGUGCAGGAAGAAUGCCCUAUGGGUUGUAAACUGCUUUUAUACAAGAAGAAACCUCGGUACGUGUACCGACUUGACGGUAUUGUAUGAAUAAGCACCGGCUAACUCCGUGCCAGCAGCCGCGGUAAUACGGAGGGUGCAAGCGUUAUCCGGAUUUAUUAGGUUUAAAGGGUCCGCAGGCGGAAUAUUAAGUCAGUGGUGAAAGCCUACAGCUCAACUGUA